rnacentral:pre_miRNA from 1 species
UAGCUACUCUCUCCGUUCCAAAUUACUCGUCACAGAAAUGGAUGUAUCUAGAACUAAAAUACAUCUAGAUACAUCCAUACUUGUGACAAGUAAUUCGAAACGGAGGGAGUACAUG